GGAGGUAAGGGUAUAGCUCAGUGGUAGAGCAGGUGCUUACCAUGCACAAGGUCCUGGGUUCAAUUCCCAGUGCCUCCA